rnacentral:rRNA from 1 species
ACCUGGUUGAUCUUGCCAGUACUCAUAUGCUUGUCUCAAAGAUUAAGCCAUGUAUGUGUAAGUAUGAACAAAUUUAGACUAUAAAACUACCAAGGAAGGCAGCAGGCGUGCAAAUUACCCAAUCUUGACAUGGGGAGGUAGUGACAAUAAAUAAUAAUACCGGGCUCAAUAAGUCUGGUAAUUGGAAUGAGUACAAUCUAAAUCCCUUAACGAGAAUCCAUUGGAGGGAGACUGGGGCCAGCAUCCGCGGUAAUUCCAGCACCAAUAGCGUAUAUUUAAGUUGUUGCAGUUAAAAAUCUCAAAGUUGGACUUUGGGAUUGGCCGGACGGUCCGCCUAUGGUGUGCAUUGGUCAUCUCGUUCCUUCUGUCGGCAAUGCGCUCCUGCCCUUAACUGGUCGGGUCGUGCCUCCGAUGCUGUUACUUUGAAGAAAUUAGAGUGCUUAAAGCAAGCGUACGCUCUGUAUACAUUAGCAUGGGAUAACAUUAUAGGAUUUCGGUCUUAUUACGUUGGCCUUCUGGAUCGGAGUAAUGAUUAAUAGGGACAGUCGAGGGCAUUCUAUUUCAUAGUCAGAGGUGAAAUUAUUGGAUUCAUGAAAUACGAACAACUGCGAAAGCAUUUUCCAAGGAUUUUUUCAUUAACCAAGAACGAAGGUUGGGGGCUCGAAGGCGAUCAGAUACCGUCCUCAUCUCAAUCAUAAACGAUGUCGAUGAGGGAUCGGCGGAUGUUGCUUUUUGGACUCUGCCGGCACCUUAUCAAAAAUCAAAGUUUUUGGGUUCCGGGGGGAGUAUGGUCGCAAGGCUGAAACUUAAAGGAAUUAACGGAAGGGCACCACCAGGAGUGGAGCCUGCAACUAAAUUUGAAUCAAUACGGGGAAACUUACUAGAUCCAGACACAGUAACGAUUGAAAGACUAAGAGCUCUUUCUUGAUUUUAUGGGUGGUGGUGAGUGGCUGUUCUUAGUUGGUGGCGUGAUUUGUCUGGUUAAUUCCGUUAACGAAUAGGACCUCAGCCUACUAACUAGCUAUACGGAGGUAUCCCUUCACGGCCAGCUUCUUAGAGGGACUACGGUCUUUUAGGCUGUAGAAGUUAGAGGCAAUAACAGGUCUGUGAUGCCCUUAGAUAUUCUGGGCCACACGCGCCCUACACUGAUGUACUCAACGACUUUAUUUGAAAUUUCAUCGUGAUUUGGAUAGAUCAUUGCAAUUGUUGGCCUUCAACAAGGAAUUCCUAGUAAGCACAAGUCAUCAGGUCGCAUUGACUAUGUCCCUGAACAUUGAACACACCACCCGUCUCUCCUACCGAUUGAAUGAUCUGGUGAAAUAUUCGGAUCACGGCGAUUGAACACACCUACCCGCGACAUUGCGAGAAGUCCAUUGAACCUUAUCAUUUAGCGAAAGGAGAAUUCGUAUCAAGGUUUUCGUAAGUGAACCUGCGUAAG